UUUCCGUAGGUGAACCUGCGGAAGGAUCAUUAAAAAUUGGACUCCAUUGGUGAGUUCAUUAAUAAUCCCUACCCUUUGUGAAUUUGUUUGUUUGAAUAAUUUUUUUUCCAAAAAAAAUUAUUGAAUGUCUUUCCUUGUUUUGGUGGAGCUUGUAAAGUGAAACCAGGCAGGGGAAUGGCAAACAAUAAUUAUUUUUGAAAAAGACCUUUUUUUAAAAUUAAACUUUUUGUAUUCAUUUGUCUAAAAUUAAUUUUUAUAAUAUAAAAACAACUUUUGACAAUGGAUCUCUUGGUUCUCGCAACGAUGAAGAACGCAGCAAAAUGCGAUAAGUAGUGUGAAUUGCAGAAUACGUGAAUCAUCGAAUCUUCGAACGCAUAUUGCACUUUUUUAGUUUACUAAAAAAGUAUGUCUGUUUGAGUAUCAGUAAAAUAUUCUCAUAAAAAACAUUGUUUUUUUUAUGGUUAUGAGUGUUUUACAACGAUAACAAGUUGUUUCACUUUAAAUUCUUUGUUAUCAAAAAAUCAUUAAAAGCUAAUUUUAAAGAUUUUUUAAAAUUGGAUAAAAUUUCCCGUAAAAAGGAAUAACCUAAACAAUUUUAAAAAAUUAAAAUUGGUUUGAUUUUUUUUGAAACCCAAAGGAAAAAAAACGAAAUUAACUUGAUCUCAAAUCAGAUAAGAGUACCCGCUGAACUUAAGCAUAUCAAUAAGCGGAGGAAAAGAAACUAACUAGGAUUCCUCAGUAACGGCGAGUGAAGCGGGAAGAGCUCAAAUUUGAAAUCUUCAAGGUUUUACCUUGACGAAUUGUAGUUUAAAGAAGUGUUUUCUGUUGGAGUUUUGGUAAAAGUUCUUUGGAAAAGGACAUCAUAGAGGGUGAGAAUCCCGUAUUUGACCAUUAUCUCCAGCUUUGUGAUACACUUUCAAAGAGUCGGAUUGUUUGGGAAUGCAGUCCAAAAUGGGUGGUAAAUUUCAUCUAAAGCUAAAUACUGGCGAGAGACCGAUAGCGAACAAGUACCGUGAGGGAAAGAUGAAAAGAACUUUGAAAAGAGAGUUAAACAGUACGUGAAAUUGUCAAAAGGGAAGCGUUUGACACCAGUGUUGUUUUCUCGAAAAUCAAUUAAAAAAGGCCGGAUUUUGUGUUGUAUUGACUUUAUCAGCUUUCUGCACUCUUUUCUUGUCUUUUUUAAUGCACUUUUCGUUUAACAAGUCAACAUCAAUUUCUUUUGUUGUAAAAGGGUCAUUGGAAGGUGGCUUUCUUUUCGGAGAAAGUGUUUAUAGCCUUUGGCCUCUGCAAUCGGAGAGAUUGAGGUCUGCAGCGUAGAUCCUUCGGGUUAGAUACAUUUGUGCUAAGUUAUAGCCUUUCAUAGACAACUUGUUGACUAUGAUCAGUCAUGUAGCUUACUCGCUUAUGCUAUUU
rnacentral:misc_RNA from 1 species